CGAACCUGCAGUUAAACAAUUAAUUACAGAAAAAAUGCCGGAUGUAGCAAAUGUUAUACAAAUUAAAACUCCUAUGCAAUUUAAUAUACAUGGUCACCUUUUGUCAUUCAAUAACAUCCAUGGUUAGUCAACACAGAUUUUAGCUUCUCUUUUUUUGAUUGCACAAGUAUAGGGCUUGGUUAGUUUUCUGUAUCAUCAUUGGUUGUUUCUGUAUAAUGCUAUGUGUGGCGUAGAGGUAUAAAAGUUGCUGAUCUGUAGUUCAGCUUCAACUUGAGGAGGAGGAACUGUUCAACUGAAAAGUUACAACCUCCACGGCUGCAUUCUUACACAUUUGUUGAAAAGAGAACGUGUAAAAGGUGUGCAUUCUGGUACCCUGCAGUCAAAAUGAAGAACCCUGUUCUCCUCUCUGCAGCCCUGCUGCUGCUGUUUUUUGUUGGGACAUCAGCUCAGGGUAACACUAACUUCAGAGUGCAGGUGAAUGUGCCACCCAGUGACAUUAAGACCUACAACACUUCUACUGCUUAUAGAGGAAGCCUCUUCGGUGGACUGACGAGACUGAAAUACUCAAACCAAGGCUUCAACUUUCAGUACAUACCAUAUGACGACUAUGGACCAUUCCUUCAGAGUGUAAAUGGUUUGGCAGGAAAUUCAUCAUACUACUGGCAACUGCUGAGUGGUAAAACCCCACUUAAUGUUGGUAUGGGAUGUUACCUUCCAACAGCAAAUGAAGUCGUCACCCUGAAAUACACGAAAAUUUAAGACCAUCUAAAGUCUUAUUGUUACUUAUGGUCAACCAAUACACUUUGAUCUUUGGCAAGUUGAGGUGAAUAAUUGACUUGUUGUGUCAUUUUUUUGCUUGGGAGUCUUUUAAUCAUAAAUCAGUAGCCUAUCACUGUCUUAGAUUCUUUUACUGGGUUUCUGUCAGACUUUAUGAAUUAAGAUUACAGCGUUAAUCUACAAUUCUGCCACAGUGUAGUAAUCUGAAGUAAGAGAAAACUCCAUCAGUCACAAGAGCAAUCAGUAAAACAUAUACAACACUUCCGUAUUAGUCAACUGAAGUUCUUGAAUUGUUUUUUAAUUUACUGCCUUUAUGGCAACUUUUAUUGUGUUUGAGAGUAAUUAAUAGUUUCUCAACUUGCCCCUGAGUGUCAUAAUUUUACAUUCAAAUUUCAUUUUUUGAGAGCUACAAGUGCUCUCAGUUUUACUCUAAAAAGAUGGUGUGGUUAUACAGUAGACUGCCCAGAGACUGCUGGCCAGCAAAAACAGCAAGGUGGGUCAGCUGCUGACUCCAUGUCAAAAUAGCUUCUUUAUCCUGCAAAUCAAGUUAUCAACAGCUUGCGAGUCAAAAGGCUUCUGAGAUUGACUGGGCUGCUGACCUCCACCUGGACACCAGCAGGUCUCAAGAUCAGCUGUGAAAUUAAAGCUAUUUUUAUACUUUUGGGGCUCCUAGAGGGGUGUGAGAGGGGCAAAAUAAGAUCAAAUUCAUUGUUGAAUCAUUUUUGUAUUAGUGCAUUUUUAUUGUUUAUUAAAAUGUUACUGAUUAUUAGUGUUAUCUUUUGCAGGCAUUAAAUAAAGCAUGUAACUUGUAGUCAAAGUAAAAUGUUUCUAGCC
ensembl:lncRNA